rnacentral:rRNA from 1 species
CACGUAGGGGACGAGCGUUGUCCGGAUUCAUUGGGCGUAAAGCGCGCGUAGGCGGCUCGGAAAGUCGGGCUCGUGAAAUGCCGGGGCUCAACCCCGGGACUGCGUCCGAUACUCCCGAGCUGGAGGUCGGUAGGGGAGAUCGGAAUUCCUGGUGUAGCGGUGAAAUGCGCAGAUAUCAGGAGGAACACCGGUGGCGAAGGCGGCUCUCUGGGACGGUACUGGCGCUGAGACGCGAAAGCGUGGGGAGCGAACAGG